GCAUAUCAAUAAGCGGAGGAAAAGAAACCAACAGGGAUUGCCCUAGUAACGGCGAGUGAAGCGGCAACAGCUCAAAUUUGAAAUCUGGCUCCCUUGGGGGUCCGAGUUGUAAUUUGUAGAGGGUGCUUUGGUGUUAGCUGUGGUCUAAGUCCCUUGGAACAGGGCGUCACAGAGGGUGAGAAUCCCGUAUGUGGCCAGCAGCUUCCGCCUUGUAAAGCCCCUUCGACGAGUCGAGUUGUUUGGGAAUGCAGCUCUAAAUGGGAGGUAAAUUUCUUCUAAAGCUAAAUAUUGGCCAGAGACCGAUAGCGCACAAGUAGAGUGAUCGAAAGAUGAAAAGCACUUUGGAAAGAGAGUCAAAAAGCACGUGAAAUUGUUGAAAGGGAAGCGCUUGCAGCCAGACUUGCCCGUAGUUGCUCAUCCAGGCCUUGUGCCUGGUGCACUCUUCUGCGGGCAGGCCAGCAUCAGUUCAGGCGGUCGGAUAAAGGCCUUGGGAAUGUGGCUCCUCUCGGGGAGUGUUAUAGCCCAGGGUGCAAUGCGGCCAGCUUGGACUGAGGUCCGCGCUUCUGCUAGGAUGCUGGCGUAAUGGCUGUAAGCGGCCCGUCUUGAAACACGGACCAAGGAGUCUAACAUCUAUGCGAGUGUUUGGGUGUCAAGCCCGAGCGCGUAAUGAAAGUGAACGGAGGUGGGAACCCCUUGGGGUGCACCAUCGACCGAUCCUGAUGUCUUCGGAUGGAUUUGAGUAAGAGCAUAGCUGUUGGGACCCGAAAGAUGGUGAACUAUGCCUGAAUAGGGUGAAGCCAGAGGAAACUCUGGUGGAGGCUCGCAGCGGUUCUGACGUGCAAAUCGAUCGUCAAAUUUGGGCAUAGGGGCGAAAGACUAAUCGAACAUCUAGUAGCUGGUUCCUGC
rnacentral:rRNA from 1 species